rnacentral:rRNA from 1 species
CCUACGGGGGGCAGCAGUGAGGAAUAUUGGUCAAUGGACGCAAGUCUGAACCAGCCAUGCCGCGUGCAGGAAGACGGCCCUAUGAGUUGUAAACUGCUUUUGUACGAGGGUAAACGCAGAUACGCGUAUCUGUCUGAAAGUAUCGUACGAAUAAGGACCGGCUAAUUCCGUGCCAGCAGCCGCGGUAAUACGGAGGAUUCAAGCGUUAUCCGGAUUUAUUGGGUUUAAAGGGGGCGUAGGCGGCCGGGUAAGUUAGAGGUGAAAUCCCGAGGCUCAACUUCGGAAUUGCAGCGGAUACUGGGGGGCUAGAGAGUAGUGGAGGUAGGCGGAAUGUAUGGUGUAGCGGUGAAAUGCUUAGAGAUCAUACAGAACACCGAUUGCGAAGGCAGCUUACCGAGGUACUACUGACGUUGAGGCACGAAAGCGUGGGGAGCAAACAGGAUUAGAUACCCCUGUAGUC